GUUGAGCAUUGUGUUAUGGUGGUGAUUUUUGAGGAGUGAUGGAAAAUAAUAAACAAUCCCUUUCAAUCGAAGUCUUUUAAAAGUAUUUUCAUGGGGUUUUAUGUGCUAGAAAUAAAGAAUAAUUAUGGAACAAAGCUAAGAUAGGUAACGUGAAAGAAAAGAAAUGGUUAUAUUGAUAAAUACACACAAGAAAGGGCUGAAAAGUUCAGUAAUGGCGCUGCCGCCAUAAUGGCUAUCUUUGUAGUUAUUCGGCUGUCAGGGACAAUCUUGCCGCUAUUUAUGUGUCUGGUUGUAACUAUGUGUCUUCAAAAAGACUACUAAGCACUACUGUUGAGAAAAUAUAAAGGAACAGAAGCAUUAUGAACCGCAAGGUACGAAAAUAUUUGGACUUUAUGCACCUAUCAAUGUUUUCCCCCUGAGGGGGGGGGGGGGGG